UCGCCCUGUUUUUCAAAAACAUUGUUCAAUGGAUCACAUAUUGAAUAGUACCUGCCCCGUGACAAAUGUUCAACGGCCGCGGUAUCCUAACCGUGCAAAGGUAGCAUAAUCACUUGCCUAUUAAUUGUAGGCUAGAAUGAAAGGGUUAACGAAAUAAAGACUGUCUCAAUUAAUUACCUAAAAAUUAUUAUCUACCUGAAGAAAAGUAGAUAAUCUCGACGGACAAGAAGACCCUAUAGAGCUUUAUUCUACUUAUAGAGCUAUACUAUAAAAGAAUUCGGUUGGGGCGACCACGGGAUAAAUAAUCACCCUCUACACAAAAGAUAUAUAAAUCAAACUAAAUGACCCUAAAAUGAUCAAAAGACCAAGCUACCUUAGGGAUAACAGGCUAAUCCCACUUAAGAGUCCAUAUCGACAGUGGGGGUUGGCACCUCGAUGUUGGCUUAGGAUAUCUAUAUAGCGCAAAAGUUAUAUAAAGAUGGUUUGUUCAACCAGUAAUAUCCUACGUGAUCUG
rnacentral:rRNA from 1 species